ACUCCUACGGGAGGCAGCAGUGGGGAAUAUUGCACAAUGGGCGCAAGCCUGAUGCAGCAACGCCGCGUGAGGGAUGACGGCCUUCGGGUUGUAAACCUCUUUUAGCAGGGAAGAAGCGAGAGUGACGGUACCUGCAGAAAAAGCACCGGCUAACUACGUGCCAGCAGCCGCGGUAAUACGUAGGGUGCAAGCGUUAUCCGGAAUUAUUGGGCGUAAAGAGCUCGUAGGCGGUUUGUCGCGUCUGCUGUGAAAUUCCGAGGCUCAACCUCGGGCUUGCAGUGGGUACGGGCAGACUAGAGUGCGGUAGGGGAGAUUGGAAUUCCUGGUGUAGCGGUGGAAUGCGCAGAUAUCAGGAGGAACACCGAUGGCGAAGGCAGAUCUCUGGGCCGUAACUGACGCUGAGGAGCGAAAGGGUGGGGAGCAAACAGGCUUAGAUACCCUGGUAGUCCACCCCGUAAACGUUGGGAACUAGUUGUGGGGUCCUUUCCACGGAUUCCGUGACGCAGCUAACGCAUUAAGUUCCCCGCCUGGGGAGUACGGCCGCAAGGCUAAAACUCAAAGGAAUUGACGG
rnacentral:rRNA from 2 species